rnacentral:rRNA from 1 species
AGUGAAUAGAUACCCUGGUAGUCCACGCCGUAAACUAUGGAUGCUGGCUGUUACUCGUAUCGACCCGAGUAGUAGCGAAAGCUAACGCGUUAAGCGUCCCGCCUGUGGAGUACGGCCGCAAGGCUAAAACAUAAAGGAAUUGACGGGGACCCGCACAAGCGGUGGAGCGUGUUCUUUAAUUCGAAGGUAAGCGAAGAACCUUACCAGGGUUUGACAUCCUCGGAAUUUCUCCGAAAGGAGAGAGUGCUUUAUUGAACCGAGUGACAGGUGAUGCAUGGCCGUCGUCAGCUCGUGUCGUGAGAUGUUUGGUUAAGUCCAUCAACGAGCGCAACCCUUAUAUUUAGUUGGAUUUUUCUAAAUAGACUGCCCCGGUAACGGGGAGGAAGGAGGGGAUGAUGUCAGGUCAGUAUUUCCCUUACAUCCUGGGCUAGAAACACGCUACAAUGGCCGGUACAAAGGGCAGCCAAGUCGUGAGACGGAGCAAAUCCCAUCAAAGCCGGUCCCAGUUCGGAUAGCAGGCUGAAAUUCGUCUGCUUGAAGUCGGAAUCGCUAGUAAC